UUGCGCAAUGGGCGAAAGCCUGACGCAGCAACGCCGCGUGGAUGAUGAAGUUCUUCGGAAUGUAAAGUCCUUUUGUGGAGGAAGAAUAUCCCCGCGUACGAUUUAUCGGGACUGACGGUACUCCGCGAAUAAGCCACGGCUAACUCUGUGCCAGCAGAUGCCCGCGGUGAUACAGGGGUGGCAAGCGU
rnacentral:rRNA from 1 species